rnacentral:lncRNA from 10 species
CCUUGCCGGAGAUUUAUCGAACGUAUUAGUCCUUUUAACAGGAAUCACCUUUGGUUGCUGAAGCAUCCAAAGUGGAAGAACUCUCAGAGGAAACGGAAGUUAAAUCACCAUCUUCUUCUGUGGCUAAACCUAUAACAGUAAGAGGGCAGGAGGAAAAUUCCUGACUAUGACCUGGAUUUCUCCUACUCUCUUAGCCUCUGGAGUAGGGAUAACUCAAUUCAACUUUUCUGCUCUGACUUGUAUUUUGAAGGCCAAGGAAACAAGGCCCAUGCACGCAUGUGCGCGCGCACCUCCCCACCCCCCACACACACUCAGGUUCAUUGUUUUCCCAAUUCCCCAGCAGUUCACAUAUUUCUGUAGACCAAGUCCUUUCCAGUAUCCCCACAAUCUUUUUUCAGAGGCUAUCUUACCAUGAUCUCACCAAGCCCAUGGCAGGAUAGCCCUUCACAAGUUUCUUCCUAAGGAUUCCUCAACCUGCAGAGCUAAAGACUUCUGUCCGAUCUGGGAAUCUACUGCCUUUCUCAGCCAUUUGGACAGGAUUGUCUGUCUAAAGCUUCAAAAAAAGAAAAAAAAUGUAUUUCUCGUUGAUGUAUACAGAAAGGACAUCUUGUGAUCAGAGAGCCACAGUACUUUGGAACUUGAGUGUUCUUUUUUUUUCCCAUAUAUUUACUAUUUGCUUUUGACAUUUCCUUGUGCCAAAGAAAGCCUUUUCCACUUUUAAUCACCAUGAUAAUUUGGUUUCCUUUCCCAUCUCUGUCCACUGGUGUAUGCUACACUUAGGCUAAAAAACAUAUUGCACACCCUUGACUACACUGUAAUACUGCACUCAGUACGGACGUGAAGCUCAGCAGGGACAUUAAAAGUAUCAUAUGCUGGGAUGGUCCUUUCCUUUUUUCUGGUGUUCAGCAUCUUUUAUAAGGCAGAAUUAAGAAAACAGAAACAUAAAUCAUGAAAUUUGAAUCUCUUGUAAUAAAGAAGGCAAGACUGCCUUUGGUCUCA